AUACGAAAGGUGCAAGCGUUGUUCGGAUUUACUGGGCGUAAAGAGAGUGUAGGUGGUUUAUUAAGUCGGAUGUGAAAUCCCGGGGCUCAACCUCGGAACUGCAUUCGAUACUGAUAGGCUAGAGUUUGGGAGGGGUAAGCGGAAUUCCGUGUGUAGCAGUGAAAUGCGUAGAUAUACGGAGGAACACCUGAGGCGAAGGCGGCUUACUGGACCAAUACUGACACUGAGACUCGAAAGCCUGGGUAGCAAACAGGAUUAGAAACCCCAGUAGUCC
rnacentral:rRNA from 1 species